rnacentral:rRNA from 1 species
GAUGAACGCUGGCGGCGUGCCUAAUACAUGCAAGUCGAGCGAACAGACGAGGAGCUUGCUCCUCUGACGUUAGCGGCGGACGGGUGAGUAACACGUGGAUAACCUACCUAUAAGACUGGGAUAACUUCGGGAAACCGGAGCUAAUACCGGAUAAUAUAUUGAACCGCAUGGUUCAAUAGUGAAAGACGGUUUUGCUGUCACUUAUAGAUGGAUCCGCGCCGCAUUAGCUAGUUGGUAAGGUAACGGCUUACCAAGGCAACGAUGCGUAGCCGACCUGAGAGGGUGAUCGGCCACACUGGAACUGAGACACGGUCCAGACUCCUACGGGGGGCAGCAGUAGGGAAUCUUCCGCAAUGGGCGAAAGCCUGACGGAGCAACGCCGCGUGAGUGAUGAAGGUCUUCGGAUCGUAAAACUCUGUUAUUAGGGAAGAACAAAUGUGUAAGUAACUAUGCACGUCUUGACGGUACCUAAUCAGAAAACCACGGCUAACUACGU